rnacentral:lncRNA from 1 species
CAUAAAAAUAUUUUUAUUUACUUAGCAAACACAUACACCAGUCGUACACAAAAAGCAAUUUUGAGUAAUUUCUAAUAUUAGUUAAUAUUUAUAAAAGUCCUGAGCAUUUGUUACAGUUAUUAUAACCACUAAAAGCAAAUGGAGGGAUAGAGAGCUACAUAAAAGAAUAGUUUAACAUGGCUAUAAAGUAACCUCUUGGAGCAUGUCAGACAUAUUGCUUUUAAACUCUACAUUAGGCUACCUCAUACUGGAGAAUUUGCCUUCACUGUAUUGAAAUAUUUAUCUUAGAAUAUAUGAGAUAUUGUUGUUUUAGUUUUAUCAAGAUAUUGACAUAUAAUACAUGUAAAUUUAAGAUGUACAUGAUGCGAUACACAUACACAUUGUGAAGUAAUUACCACAAUAAUAUUGGUUAACACUUUCAGCCUUUCAUGUAUUUCCCAUUUAUUUUUUUAGAUAAAACUUUUAAGAUUCAUUCUCUAAACUUUCAAGUAUGUAAUACAUUAUCGUUAAUUAUAGCCAUCACACUGUACGUUAGAUCUUCAAAAGUUACAUGUUGUAAACUUUGAGAAUCAUAACCCAUUUCUCCCACACCACAUCCCCUGGCAAUCACCAUUCUACUCUAUAUUUCUUUGAAUUUGGCUGUUUUAUCUUCCAUAUGUAAUCAAGAACAUGUAGUAUUUGUCUUUCCCUUUCUGAAUCAUUUCAUCCAGAAUAAUGCCCUUAAGGUACGUUCAUGUUGUCACAAAUGUCAGGAUUUCCUUUUUUUAUGGUCAAUAAUACACACACACACACACACAUAUAUAUAUACUAUAUAUGCAUAUAUACACACAUAUACACACACACAUAUAUAUACGCACACACACAUCUUCUUUAUCCAUUCAUCUGUUGAUGGACACCUAGGUUGAUUCUAUAUCAUGGCAAUUAUGAAUAAUGCUACAGUAAACACAAGAGUGCAGAUAUUUCUUUGAGAGUGACUGCAAUUCUUUUGAAUAUAUACACAGAAGUGGGAUUCCUGGAUCAUAACAUAGUUUUAAUUUUUAAGGAAUCUUCGUACUGUUUUCUAUAAUUGGCUAUACCAAUUUACAUUUCCAUCAAGAGUGAACAAGUUUUCCCUUUUCUCCACAGCCCCACCAAAGCUAGUUAUUGGCUAUCUUUUUGAUGGUAGUCAUUCUGACACAUGUGUGGUAUUAGCUCCUUGUGGUUUUGAUAUGUGUUUUCUUAAUGGUUAGUGAUGCUAAGAAAUUUUUCUGGUACCUGUUGGCCAUCUAUAUGUCUUCUUUGGAAAAAAUGUCUUUUUACAUCCACUCCCCAUUUUUAAUAAGAUUAUUUGUGGGUUUUGUUUUUUGUUUUUGUUUUUUGGGUUUUUUUUUUUUUUUUUUUUUUUUUUGCUGUUGAGUUGUAUGAUUUCCUUAUAUAUUUUAGAUAUUAAGGCCUUAUCAGACAAAUGGUUUGAAAAUUUCCUCCCAGUCAAUGGGCUGCCUUUUUAUUUUCUUGGUAGUUACCUUCACUAUGCAAAAGAUUUUUAGUUUGAUGUAGUCCCAUUGCAUAUCUUUUGCUUUUGUUUCCCUGGCUUGGGGAGAUUGAUUUGAAAAAAUAUCACUAACCAAUGUUAAAGAUCGUAUGGCCCAUGUUAUCUUCUAUGAGCUUUAUGGUUUUAGGUCUUCUGUUUAAGUCUCUAAUCCAUUUUGAGUUUAUUUUUGUAUAUGGUGUGAGUAAGUCAUCCAGUUUUAUUCUUUUACAUGUAACUGUCCAAUUUUCUCCACACCACUUGCUGAAGAGACUGUCUUCCCCAUUGUAUAUUAUUGCCACUUUGUCAUAGAUUAAUUGACCAGAUAAUGUAGGUUUAUUUCCAGACUCUAUGUUUCCUUCCAUUGAUCUAUGAGUCUGUUUUUCUGCCAGUACCAUGAAUUUUUUAUUACUAUAGUUUUAUAAUAUGGUUUGAAAGCAGGAAAUGUGAUACUUCCUGCUUUAUUCUUAUUUCCCAGGAUUGCUUUGACUAUUCAGGGUCUUUUGUGUUUCCAUACAAGUUUUAGAACUAUUUGUUCCAGUUCUGUGAAAAAUCAUCUGUGUUUUGAUAAGGACUGAAUUGAAUCUGUAGCUUGCCUGAAUAGUAUGGCCACUUUAACAAUAUCAAUUCUUGCAAUCCCUGAGCAUGGUAUAGCUUUCCAUCUGAUUAUAUCAUCUUCAAUUGCUUUCAUUAAUACACUAUAGAUUUUCAAAUACAAGUCUUUUACCUCCUUGGUUAGAUUCAUUCCUAGGCAUUUCACUCCUUUUAAUGCAAUUGUAAAUGGGAAUGUUUUCUUAAUUUCCUUUUCUGAUAGUUCAUCAUUAGAGUAUAAAAACAUAACAAAUUUCUGUAUAUUAAUUUUGUAUUGUGAAAAAUUACUGAAUCAGGAGUUCCCACUGUGGCUCAGUGAUUAACGAAUCCAACUAGGGACCAUGAGGUUGCAGGUUUGAUCCCUGGCCUCACUCAUGGGUUAAGGACCCAGCUUUGCCAUGAGCUGUGGUGUAGGUUGAAGAUAGGUGGUGUAGGUGGCAGAUGCUGCUUGGAUCUGAUGUCUGUGGCUGUGACGUAGGCCGGCGGCUGCAGAUCUAACUCAACCCCUAGCCUGGGAACCUCCACAUUCUGCAAUUGUGGCCUUAAAAGCAAAAACAAACAAACAAACAAAAAACAUAUAAGACUGGUGGGAUAAUAUAAAAUGUGCCAACCUAUGCAUAAUAGGGGUUCCAGAAGGAAAAGAGAGAAAGAAAGGGAUCAAAACUGUAUUUAAAGAAAUUGUGGAUGAAAACUUCCCAAGUCUAAAGAAGGAAACAUAUAUCCAGGUAUGGGAGUCACAAAUGGACACAAGAUGAACCCAAGUAGACCCACACCAAGAUAUAUCUUAAUUAAAACAGAAAACAUUGAAGAUAAAAAGAGGAUUCUAAAGUCAGCAAUAACAGUAAACCAAAAAAAUAAAAAUAAAAAAAUAAAA